UGGAGAUGUAUAAGGGACUCAC
rnacentral:siRNA from 1 species